rnacentral:rRNA from 1 species
CCUUAGGCAAAUCCGGGAUCACUUACGCCGAGCACCGAGACGAGUCCUAUGAGGACGAAGUGACUGACACCACGCUUCCAGGAAAAGCCACUAAGCUUCAGCUUAAGAAAAACCGUACCGCAAACCGACACAGGUAGGCAGGGUGAGAAUCCCAAGGCGCUUGAGAGAACUCGGGUGAAGGAACUAGGCAAAAUGGCACCGUAACUUCGGGAGAAGGUGCGCCCUUUGGUGUGGUCACGUGCGUGACUGAGCAUCGAAGGGUCGCAGUAACCUGGCCGCUGCGACUGUUUAUCAAAAACACAGCACUCUGCAAACACGAAAGUGGACGUAUAGGGUGUGACGCCUGCCCGGUGCUGGAAGGUUAAUUGAUGGGGUCAGCCGCAAGGCGAAGCUCUUGAUCGAAGCCCCAGUAAACGGCGGCCGUAACUAUAACGGUCCUAAGGUAGCGAAAUUCCUUGUCGGGUAAGUUCCGACCUGCACGAAUGGCGUAACGACAGCGGCGCUGUCUCCACCCGAGACUCAGUGAAAUUGAAAUCGCUGUGAAGAUGCAGCGUUCCCGCGGCAAGACGGAAAGACCCCGUGAACCUUUACUAUAGCUUUACACUGAACGUUGAGUUCUUCUGUGUAGGAUAGGUGGGAGGCUAUGAAACCUGGACGCUAGUUCUGGUGGAGCCAUCCUUGAAAUACCACCCUGAAGUGCUUGACGUUCUAACCUAGGCCCGUAAUCCGGGUCAGGGACCGUGUAUGGUGGGUAGUUUGACUGGGGCGGUCUCCUCCCAAAGAGUAACGGAGGAGCACGAAGGUACGCUCAGCGCGGUCGGACAUCGCGCACUGUGUGCAAAGGCAUAAGCGUGCUUGACUGCGAGAUCGACGGAUCAAGCAGGUACGAAAGUAGGUCUUAGUGAUCCGGUGGUUCUGUAUGGAAGGGCCAUCGCUCAACGGAUAAAAGGUACUCCGGGGAUAACAGGCUGAUACCGCCCAAGAGUUCAUAUCGACGGCGGUGUUUGGCACCUCGAUGUCGGCUCAUCACAUCCUGGGGCUGUAGCCGGUCCCAAGGGUAUGGCUGUUCGCCAUUUAAAGUGGUACGCGAGCUGGGUUCAGAACGUCGUGAGACAGUUCGGUCCCUAUCUGUCGUGGGCGUUGGAGAUUUGAGGGGGGCUGCUCCUAGUACGAGAGGACCGGAGUGGACGUUCCGCUGGUGUUCGGGUUGUCAUGCCCAUGGCAUUGCCCGGUAGCUACGAACGGAAGUGAUAACCGCUGAAAGCAUCUAAGCGGGAAGCACGCCCCAAGAUGAGAUCUCCCGAGAGCUUGACUCUCCUAAAGGCACCAUCAAGACUAGGUGGUUGAUAGGUCAGGUGUGGAAGCGCAGCAAUGCGUUGAGCUAACUGAUACUAAUGAGCCGUGAGGCUUGACC